GAUAAUAAGGACAAGCAGGGUUUCCAUUUCCAUUACCAGAGUAAUCGAUUGGAGCUUAAGUCCGUUUCCAUUAGGGGCAGGAUACUGUCGGGUUCUUUCUGCUCAACGCAGGCUGGAUUAAACAUACAGAACCUUGGAGCCAAGGCUGAAACUGAAGUGCUAAAGAAAUAAUCCUUGCCCAAAGCAGCUGGCUAUGUUUCAGGAUUGAAACUCAUUCACUGCUCUGCAAAGCUCUGAGGACUUCUGUGAGGAGGAAAAGAAACAGCAGAUUUGGUUCCCAAAUGCUCUAAAGCUCCAUCUUAAACCAGAGAACUGGACAGCUGCCUCAGCUGGUGUCUGAAUCCUCAACAAAGAAGAGGUCAGCAAAACUAUUUUUCAACAUUUAGCAGAAAUCUACUGAAACUGUCAAUUUUAGAAAGCUGAUGGCAAGUUGUUUGACAGAUGCCAAGUGAUACAAGAAACAAAGCAGAAAUAAAUAUUGUUUCAGGAGCUUGAGGAACAUUUUCCAAGCUGUUCAACUGCACAAUCAAGACACACACCAGCCAGAGAUUUACUUUAGCCCACAAACAAUGUGAGUGACAGCUUUCCUGAAGAACUGCAAGCCCAAAAUUUUGGGUGGACCACUGUACCUGAUCAAAGGAGAGUGAGCCAUCACGUUCUUGCAGCCUGCCAGGACCUGCAUCUUGACUUCCAUCAUCAAGGUGAAAGUCAAGAAGAAGCUCUGUCCUAUCUCAAGGACAGACAAAUAGACAGACAUACACACGCCUGUCAGGAUAUCUCAACUCCAGUGAGACUUCAAAAGUCAGGAACUAGAAGAGAUUUUUCCAAUGCUCCGGCAAACAGCUUCCAUAUCAUUGGCAUGAAUUUUUGCCUUUAAAAUGAGCAUUGAAAUAAAGAAGUCUUGUUUUCCACUAAAGUUUUGGUCCAAAGCAGUGGUUUCGGCUUACAGUAAAUCUUGUGCUGUG